AUUGAACGCUGGCGGCAGGCCUAACACAUGCAAGUCGAACGGUAACAGGAAGCAGCUUGCUGCUUUGCUGACGAGUGGCGGACGGGUGAGUAAUGUCUGGGAAACUGCCUGAUGGAGGGGGAUAACUACUGGAAACGGUAGCUAAUACCGCAUAACGUCGCAAGACCAAAGAGGGGGACCUUCGGGCCUCUUGCCAUCGGAUGUGCCCAGAUGGGAUUAGCUAGUAGGUGGGGUAACGGCUCACCUAGGCGACGAUCCCUAGCUGGUCUGAGAGGAUGACCAGCCACACUGGAACUGAGACACGGCCCAGACUCCUACGGGAGGCAGCAGUGGGGAAUAUUGCACAAUGGGCGCAAGCCUGAUGCAGCCAUGCCGCGUGUAUGAAGAAGGCCUUCGGGUUGUAAAGUACUUUCAGCGGGGAGGAAGGGAGUAAAGUUAAUACCUUUGCUCAUUGACGUUACCCGCAGAAGAAGCACCGGCUAACUCCGUG
rnacentral:rRNA from 1 species